UACAGAGGUGGCAAGCGUUGUUCGGAAUUACUGGGCGUAAAGGGCGCGUAGGCGGUCUUGCAAGUCCCGUGUGAAAUCCCUCGGCUCAACUGAGGAACUGCACGGGAAACUGCUUGGCUUGAGUUCGGGAGAGGGAAGCGGAAUUCCGGGUGUAGCGGUGAAAUGCGUAGAUAUCCGGAGGAACAUCAGUGGCGAAGGCGGCCCUCUGGUCCAGUACUGACACUCAAGUGCGAAAGCGUGGGGAGCAAACAGG
rnacentral:rRNA from 1 species